ACGUCGAGUAGGNACCCGAAAGUCGCCGUGAUACCCAACCCGACGAAGGGGGAAAGGCGCCUAAGGUAGACGAUCGGUAAGGAGGGCU
rnacentral:rRNA from 1 species